UGCAUCGGCCGGGAAUCGAACCCGGGCCGCCCGCGUGGCAGGCGAGCAUUCUACCACUGAACCAAAAGGUGAC
rnacentral:tRNA from 1 species